GGAGGGGUGGCCGAGUGGCUGAAGGCGGCGGUUUGCUAAACCGUUAUACGGCGUAAUCCGUAUCGUGGGUUCGAAUCCCAUCCCCUCCGCCA
rnacentral:tRNA from 1 species